rnacentral:rRNA from 1 species
UAAGCGACUAAGCGUACACGGUGGAUGCCCUGGCAGUCAGAGGCGAUGAAGGACGUGCUAAUCUGCGAUAAGCGUCGGUGAGGUGAUAUGAACCGUUAUAACCGGCGAUUUCCGAAUGGGGAAACCCAGUGUGUUUCGACACACUAUCAUUAACUGAAUCCAUAGGUUAAUGAGGCGAACCGGGGGAACUGAAACAUCUAAGUACCCCGAGGAAAAGAAAUCAACCGAGAUUCCCCCAGUAGCGGCGAGCGAACGGGGAGGAGCCCAGAGCCUGAAUCAGUGUGUGUGUUAGUGGAAGCGUCUGGAAAGGCGCGCGAUACAGGGUGACAGCCCCGUACACAAAAAUGCACAUAUUGUGAGCUCGAUGAGUAGGGCGGGACACGUGGUAUCCUGUCUGAAUAUGGGGGGACCAUCCUCCAAGGCUAAAUACUCCUGACUGACCGAUAGUGAACCAGUACCGUGAGGGAAAGGCGAAAAGAACCCCGGCGAGGGGAGUGAAAAAGAACCUGAAACCGUGUACGUACAAGCAGUGGGAGCCUCUUAAUGGGGUGACUGCGUACCUUUUGUAUAAUGGGUCAGCGACUUAUAUUCUGUAGCAAGGUUAACCGAAUAGGGGAGCCGAAGGGAAACCGAGUCUUAACUGGGCGUUAAGUUGCAGGGUAUAGACCCGAAACCCGGUGAUCUAGCCAUGGGCAGGUUGAAGGUUGGGUAACACUAACUGGAGGACCGAACCGACUAAUGUUGAAAAAUUAGCGGAUGACUUGUGGCUGGGGGUGAAAGGCCAAUCAAACCGGGAGAUAGCUGGUUCUCCCCGAAAGCUAUUUAGGUAGCGCCUCGUGAAUUCAUCUCCGGGGGUAGAGCACUGUUUCGGCAAGGGGGUCAUCCCGACUUACCAACCCGAUGCAAACUGCGAAUACCGGAGAAUGUUAUCACGGGAGACACACGGCGGGUGCUAACGUCCGUCGUGAAGAGGGAAACAACCCAGACCGCCAGCUAAGGUCCCAAAGUCAUGGUUAAGUGGGAAACGAUGUGGGAAGGCCCAGACAGCCAGGAUGUUGGCUUAGAAGCAGCCAUCAUUUAAAGAAAGCGUAAUAGCUCACUGGUCGAGUCGGCCUGCGCGGAAGAUGUAACGGGGCUAAACCAUGCACCGAAGCUGCGGCAGCGACACUAUGUGUUGUUGGGUAGGGGAGCGUUCUGUAAGCCUGUGAAGGUGGCCUGUGAGGGUUGCUGGAGGUAUCAGAAGUGCGAAUGCUGACAUAAGUAACGAUAAAGCGGGUGAAAAGCCCGCUCGCCGGAAGACCAAGGGUUCCUGUCCAACGUUAAUCGGGGCAGGGUGAGUCGACCCCUAAGGCGAGGCCGAAAGGCGUAGUCGAUGGGAAACAGGUUAAUAUUCCUGUACUUGGUGUUACUGCGAAGGGGGACGGAGAAGGCUAUGUUGGCCGGGCGACGGUUGUCCCGGUUUAAGCGUGUAGGCUGGUUUUCCAGGCAAAUCCGGAAAAUCAAGGCUGAGGCGUGAUGACGAGGCACUACGGUGCUGAAGCGACAAAUGCCCUGCUUCCAGGAAAAGCCUCUAAGCAUCAGGUAACAUCAAAUCGUACCCCAAACCGACACAGGUGGUCAGGUAGAGAAUACCAAGGCGCUUGAGAGAACUCGGGUGAAGGAACUAGGCAAAAUGGUGCCGUAACUUCGGGAGAAGGCACGCUGAUAUGUAGGUGAAGCGACUUGCUCGUGGAGCUGAAAUCAGUCGAAGAUACCAGCUGGCUGCAACUGUUUAUUAAAAACACAGCACUGUGCAAACACGAAAGUGGACGUAUACGGUGUGACGCCUGCCCGGUGCCGGAAGGUUAAUUGAUGGGGUUAGCGGUAACGCGAAGCUCUUGAUCGAAGCCCCGGUAAACGGCGGCCGUAACUAUAACGGUCCUAAGGUAGCGAAAUUCCUUGUCGGGUAAGUUCCGACCUGCACGAAUGGCGUAAUGAUGGCCAGGCUGUCUCCACCCGAGACUCAGUGAAAUUGAACUCGCUGUGAAGAUGCAGUGUACCCGCGGCAAGACGGAAAGACCCCGUGAACCUUUACUAUAGCUUGACACUGAACAUUGAGCCUUGAUGUGUAGGAUAGGUGGGAGGCUUUGAAGUGUGGACGCCAGUCUGCAUGGAGCCGACCUUGAAAUACCACCCUUUAAUGUUUGAUGUUCUAACGUGGGCCCCUUACCGGGGUUGCGGACAGUGUCUGGUGGGUAGUUUGACUGGGGCGGUCUCCUCCUAAAGAGUAACGGAGGAGCACGAAGGUUGGCUAAUCCUGGUCGGACAUCAGGAGGUUAGUGCAAUGGCAUAAGCCAGCUUGACUGCGAGCGUGACGGCGCGAGCAGGUGCGAAAGCAGGUCAUAGUGAUCCGGUGGUUCUGAAUGGAAGGGCCAUCGCUCAACGGAUAAAAGGUACUCCGGGGAUAACAGGCUGAUACCGCCCAAGAGUUCAUAUCGACGGCGGUGUUUGGCACCUCGAUGUCGGCUCAUCACAUCCUGGGGCUGAAGUAGGUCCCAAGGGUAUGGCUGUUCGCCAUUUAAAGUGGUACGCGAGCUGGGUUUAGAACGUCGUGAGACAGUUCGGUCCCUAUCUGCCGUGGGCGCUGGAGAACUGAGGGGGGCUGCUCCUAGUACGAGAGGACCGGAGUGGACGCAUCACUGGUGUUCGGGUUGUCAUGCCAAUGGCACUGCCCGGUAGCUAAAUGCGGAAGAGAUAAGUGCUGAAAGCAUCUAAGCACGAAACUUGCCCCGAGAUGAGUUCUCCCUGACUCCUUGAGAGUCCUGAAGGAACGUUGAAGACGACGACGUUGAUAGGCCGGGUGUGUAAGCGCAGCGAUGCGUUGAGCUAACCGGUACUAAUGAACCGUGAGGCUUAACCU